AUUUUGGAAGUGCCACCACGCCCGGCCAAGAUGGGUCUUUUGAGGCAUUCUUCAGACUUUUCGCAUUCUGGCGACUAACUGACCCCACCCAGACUCGUGACUCAAGACCCAAUCCUUUCUUCUGCCCCAGUCCUCCACCCAGAGGCGGACUCAGGGUGCUGCUAACUGGGCGGAUAGCAUCUCCAGCCAGUCAGCCGCACCCAUUCCCUACUGCCCUCCCACACCAAACUGAAAACCCUAACCUCUGAGCUGAACCUUCCGGAAAACACUUGAGUGGUAACUCUUCGUCCCUGAGGCCAGCCUCACGUUAAUACAACUCUAUUUCUGUAGCAUUUAGUGUAGUGCUAAGCAUUAGGGACUUAGUGAAUUGGUUUUGUCAGCAGCGGGCUGGAAGAACCUGGGUGGGAUUCAUUCCCAUGAGUAGAAAUUUCUUUCCAUUUAGAGCUUAGCCUAUUGUCACCUCCAAGAAGCAGGUCUUGGCCAGGUGUGGUGGUUCAUGGCUGCAAUCCCAGCACUGGGGGGCCGAGGCCGGAGGAUUGCUUGAGCCCAG